rnacentral:rRNA from 1 species
AUUGAACGCUGGCGGCAGGCCUAACACAUGCAAGUCGAACGAGUGGCGGACGGGUGAGUAAUGUCUGGGAAACUGCCCGAUGGAGGGGGAUAACUACUGGAAACGGUAGCUAAUACCGCAUACCAUCGGAUGUGCCCAGAUGGGAUUAGCUAGUAGGUGGGGUAACGGCUCACCUAGGCGACGUUCCCUAGCUGGUCUGAGAGGAUGACCACCCACACUGGAACUGGGACACGGUCCAGACUCCUACGGGAGGCAGCGGUGGGUAAUAUUGCACAAUGGGCGCAAGCCUGAUGCAGCCAUGCCGCGUGUAUGAAGAGGGCCUUCGGGUUGUAAGGUACUUUCAGCGAGGAGGCGUUACUCGCAGAAGAAGCACCGGCUAACUCCGUGCCAGCAGCCGCGGUAAUUC